AGCGCCGGGACUGUGAGAUGGCCAAUGACGGUCUGACCCGUUGGGCCGGGCCAGGUCGCGGACAACGUCGACCGUUUGUUUAAGAAGCGUGGACUCUUGUCCUGAGUGCACCGAGGCUUUCAGCCUGCGGGACAGUGGUGCGAUUUGCAUUAGAGAAAGGGAGAUGCCAUGUGCUGGCCCAGCACUCCAACAGGGGCCUGACCUCUAGGAACGGGACACUGGAGGAAGCCUAGACAUCUGAACAAAUCAAGUCAUCCAGAUCCACGGUCAGCUCCUGCCCCGACUUGGCCUUCCUCCUGCUGGGCUGGCCCACGGACCUCGGGAACCUGCCCUGGCUGUGGGUGACCUGCAGCCUAUCUCCCAGGACUAUGGAAGCCCCAUGCAGGAACAUGGUUCUGACACUUUGGGGAUUAUACCCUAAGCUUAAAGGACUGGAAAAGCCCCUGAAGUCCCGAGACCACAACCCUCCACCUUCUAAAGAUAAGACAAGUCACUGAAGGUCUCAGAACUGUGGCCCAUUCACCCCUUCCCUCAAGACAAGAGUGUGGCCAAGCAUCAAUCUCACCCCCAGAGACCAGACGGUGUCCAGGUCUUGGGCAGACGAAACCUGCUCCUUGGGGAUGGUCUUCCUGGCUGUGCUUCCAAAGGGCUGGCCUGCAAUCAGCUGGUUUUCACUUGAUCCUUUCGGGGUUUGCAUUAUAUCUGACUGAAGGAAUGAACUGGGAGAGAACAGCAGAGCCGCAGCGGAAUGUGGAAAGGCCCACGUCCAGACUGUUCCCAUUCUGAUUUAAAAGCCUGAUGAAGGAACAGCUGAACUCAGAGAAACAGCAGGAAGCUGAUUACUCUAGGUACCUAUGAGGGUGGAGUCAUACAGUAUUUGUUUUUGUGACUGGCUGAUUUCACUCAGCGUAAUGUCUUCGAGGUCCAUUCAUGUUGUGAGGGAUGAAGGAGGAGAUUUUACUGCAUACAGAGGAGAAGGUGAUGUGAAGAUGGAGCAGAGAGAGACCUGAAGAUGCUGGCGUUGAAGGCUGCAGGGAUGCAGCCACAAGCCAAGGAGUGCCUGCUCUCACCAGAAGCUGAAAGAGGCAAGGAAUGUCUUCUUCUAUAGAACCUACAGAGGGAGUACCCUGCCAACACCUUUAUUUGGGCCCAGUGAUACUAUCAGACUUCAGACUUCUGGCCUUCAAAACUGCCAGAAAAUACAUUUCUGUCAUUUUAAACUACUACGUUUAUGGUGAUUUGUUACAGCAGCCACAGGAAAUUAAUCCAGCCACUUUAUGUCCAAAAUGAGGUUAAUAAUAGGGAACCUGUAAGUGCAUGCCUUGUUUCAAGUUUACCAGAGAUGCCACAUCCUUCCUGGUGUCUCUGUGGGUUUGCUUCCUAAGAUUCCAAUCAACCCUUGCACCCGGUGAUCAACUUUCCAACUGUCUUUCAGAAAAUGAUUAACUUCUGUUUUUUAACUAAGUCGUCCCCAGCAAACCAUAUUUUUGUGAAAGCUUACUGUUCAUUUCUGCAGGCCUGAAGGGAGGUGGGGCUAGUAAGUCUCAGCCCCUUCUCUGCAAGCCUGCUCUAAACAGCAGUGACAGACAUGGCAUGGUCCACCUUCUAGUCAUUAGAUAUAAUGCCAAGAUAAACAAGUUUGAUUGAUACCCUGGGGUGAAAUUCCUUUUUGCACUCCAGGUACUGAGGAGAAGGCAUUGUGUAUGGGACACUGGAAGAGGUAUGGGACUGUGUGAAGCCGGCUGUUGGGCAUGGUCCACCUUCUAGUCCUUAGAUAUAAUUCCUUUUUGGGCUCCAAGUACUGAGGAGAAGGCAUUGUAUAUGGGACACUGGAAGAGGUGUGGGACUGUGUGAAGCCGGCUGUUGGGCAUGGUCCACCUUCUAGUCCUUAGAUAUAAUGCCAAGAUAAACAAGUUUGAGUGAUACCCUGGGGUCAAAUUCCCUUUUGUGCUCCAGGUACUGAGGAGAAGGCAUUGUAUAUGGGACACCAGAAGAGGUGUGGGACUGUGUGAACCCGGCUGUCGGGGGCCUGUGAGAGAAGGGGGAUGAGAAUGUGAUUGGUUUUGAAAUGAUCUAAAAUAGAAACUCCACAGAUGGCCUCUGAGAAAUUGAGACUCCAUUCUGUAAAAAGGCACAGAGUCAUAGAACUGUAGCGCUAGAAAGACUCUGGUCACCUGGCUCAAUCCCCUGUUCUACAAAAGACGGGUCAGAGGCCUCAAGAGAUACGACUCUCCAAGGCUGUCCAACCCAUAGGUAGGAAAACUGGGACUUUUUGAAGUGUUUCUGUGAGAAUGAAAAUAAAUAGCUGUAAAAGGCUCAGAAUAGUGUUUGAUGUAGUAAGUGUUCAAAAUGUUUGAUUGUGAUAGGUUUAUUUAAAACAUUGGGCCACCUAAAUUUCCAACAUCAAAAGUGAAGUAACAAGAAUGCUAAUGAAAUACAACGUUUUAUCUAAAAUAAUGCAAUCAUCAGAGCCUUUCUGUUCCAUCUGCCUCUGUGACUACUGCCCAGUCCAAGCCGCCAUUGCCUAGAUUGUCGUAGCAGCCUCCUCAUCGUUGUCCUGUUUCUUUUGACGACUUCCAAAGACUAUUUCCCGCCCAGCUACAUCCCAUUCUCCUCACAGCAGCCAGAGAAUUUUUUUUUGUAAAAAAUGUAAGUCAAAUCAGGUGCCUUCUCUUCUAGAAACCUCCAGUGGCUCCUUUUCUCAGUCAGAGUAAAAUCCACAUCCUUACCCAGAGCUACAUAGCCCAACAAGAGGGACCCUGUGCUGCACCCUGGAGCUCUUCUCCUGUAAUUUGAGUGUCUUGCCUACCCUGCUCUGGCCACACUGGCCUCCUUGCUGUGCCCAAAUACUCCAGGCCUGUGGCCUUGGGGUCUUUACGUGUGUCUUUUGCCUUGGUUGGAAUGCUUUUUCCCUGCAUGCUCAGUUACCUGCUCCCUUUCCUCCUUCAAGUCUCUUCUCAAAUGUUGCCCUAUCAGAGGGUAUUUUUGGCCACCCUACAUACCAGAGCAAACCACCAGCCCUCAUUGGCUGCCUAUCACGCUUUAUUUUUCUUUAUAGCAUUUAUCCCCACCAGAUAUUAAAUAUAUACAUAUUUACACCUUGCUAGUCUAUCUGUUCAGUACUAUACUUUUACAUGAAAGUAAAAAACAAACAAGAGACAGUUUACAUAUUAUAUCUUUCUUUUAAAAAAACAUAACUUACUCUAUUUGGGUGAAUAAAUGACAAUUGAGCCUAUGAUUUGUUCUGUGUCUACUAAGAAUCUAAUUUGUCAACCAAAAUAAUCUUCCUGGGGAGAUGCAGUGAACACUAUGCUGCACACAUAAACACAUUGCAUCACUCCAUGUAGAUUAUUUUGGUUGAUAAAUUAGAUUCUUAAGAGGCUUGGGGGUCAAAUACUCCAGGCAUUAAAUGUCAGUUCUACUGCUUGCUAGCUAGAGUACUUCCACAGUGAAAGCUAGGGAGCUUUUACUGACUGUCCCUGAGUCAUUAUUUCCUUAUUUACAAAACAGAAAUAACUUUGCAACGUUGUAAAGAUUAGCAAAAUUGUAUAGGAAAGGCCUACCACAGUGCAUAGGGCGUAGUAGGAAACUAAAAACUGAGAAGGAUGUUUAUUCUUGUGUCUAUAAUAGUAGUGUCAUUUAAACCCCACCAUGAAAGCAUGGCCAGAAUGGUUUAAGUAAUUUCUUAUGAAAUAUGUGAUAGCCAUUAUUAUCAUCAUUCUUGACAUUAUUUUAAAAUCAGCAUUAAAGUUUGGUAAGAAUGCUUUGAGAUGAAUUAUUUUUUGCAAACUGAACUGAUUCAUGUAGAGAACUGCAAACAAAAUAUUUUGCCAAUAUACUGAUUAACGACAUAACAUACACACUAUGUGUGCUCUUUAAUCCAGCUCCAAAUGCAAAUAAAACUUUAAAAAUGCCCUCUCCUGUCUAAGAAACAAGCCCAAACAGUAGCCAAGUACAUAUAUAGAAUUUAACUCGGGGUGUCUGAAUUUACUGUAGUUGCCCAUGGAUGGGAGAAGCAGCCUGCCAAGGCCCAGAGAUGCAGGGUUUAAUUCCCAGAGCUCACGGGAAGCCGGCUGAUUGGUGAACGCGCCCGCACUGUGUAAUUGAACAUGUGCUCCCAGCCCAACUGCAGGAAGGAUGAAAUUUGUUAAGUGGUAUCUUUCAUGAGAUUAAAAAAGGAAGAUAAACUGUCACUGGUUAUGAUAGGGUCUUAUUAAAUUUCUGCCCUACUAAUUUGGAAACUGUGAUAAUCCAGACUUGGCAUAUAUGAUACAGAACAAAAAAGUGGAAUUAAAUGCUGACACUUGGAAAUUUUACAUUAUGGUGCACCCCUAGAUUCUAGGGCUCGUUGUUGACUUAAGUCUAUUUUGUUUCAAUUCUGUGUAUCUAUUUUUAACCCUUAGGUGCCAUCUGCUUGAGCGUUGUCCUGGUUCACUUCCAGUAUAAAGCUCAGAGUGCAGGAAUAAUAUCCAAGUGCCAGCAAAACCACUUGGGUGGUCGCAAAAUGGAGUGAGGAGGAUCAUGAGGGCUGUGUUUCUGAAGAACCCACAGGGGGAGGCAGCAGGGAUGAACUGCAAAAAAGUGGCAGUCUAUGCUGCACACAUCAGCCCCACAAAAGAAUAACAAAAUCCAGGAGCAGAGAGCUGAGCUACCGUAACUGAGAAUGGCUCCGCAGUGGGGAUGGUUUGAGAACCGUGACCUGGGUCUAGAUGGCCCCUCUUGGAGCUCACUGGGACCCUGCAUACAUUCCCUGCCUAUUGACCUCACACAGCAGUGGCUUAGCUCGGCUGAGAGGAGAACUGUCUGUUCCUCUUUGUUGGUUUAACCAUAUGAUACACAAUCCUGUAAACAAAUUAAUUUCCUCUGGGACUUCUGAAAGCAUGCUAACUGCAUUAUCAUUUUUUUCUGCACAAAGGAAGCUUAGCAAGAAAACAAUUAUGGGAUGGACUUCAAAUGAUCUCCAAAUGGCCAUAAAAUAGAGAUGUAGUCAACAGAGAGGCAGGAGAAAAAAAAAUUAACAAGGUUUUGUUUGCUAAAAUCUAGGAUUCAUUUGAUUUUAAAGCUGUGUGACCCACUUCCAUUCUUUCUCCCUUCCAUCAGCUUUCUGCACAAACCUUUUGCCACCCUCAUUUUUAACAUUUGUAUUCCUCCUCUACUGCCCAGAGCCUUUCUACUCUGUGUUCUCCAAUUCAUCCUAAAAUCAAGACCAAGGUAGAAUUCUCGAACUUGGCCUAUUCUGAAAAAAAUGGACAUGGCUGGGACAGAGAGCUUGUGUGAAUAUUCCCAAUUGGUAAGGAAUGAGUUUGCACACUCAUUUAUUCUGCCAUCAAGCAUUUACUGGCUGUCUGGUUUGUGCCUGACCCUAUGCACUUCCUUAGGGAAUGGAAUAAAAAAAAAUACAUGAUCUUCUCCUUAAAGCAACUUGAUGCUUGAUAGAAUGACAGACAAAGCAAGAAUUGAAACAGAGUGAGGUGACUGCUGUGAUGGGUGAAUGCUUAGAGCUAGGGAGGGGUAGAAGAGGAGAGAGAAGGAGUAUUGCUUAGUUUGGGUCUUGAAAGAUAAGUUACUGUUCUUAAACUACAGUAGUAUACUGUUGAGGGGCACAGAUGGACCAUUCAAGACAGAAAGCUGCAAUGGCCUGUGGGGACAGGCGGAAACUGCCACCCUCCUCCAGUCACUCAGGCCCUAAACCAUAGCUGUGACAGUCUAUCAACUUACAUUCCAACCUCACCUGCAGGACACAAGGGAGAGAGUUGCCAAAGAGGUGGCUGUAGGUAAUGGGGUAUAUACAUUUGGAUACUGGACACAGAGAAGACACAGAUCCAAAGUCUCAUUGGGAUAAGGAAGUUAGGAGAGCUUGAGUUUCCUUGUUCUUAUUAAAAUAUAUGAACACUCCUUCAUUGAUUAUCAAUACCAUCCUGUCUGAAUGCAGACAUCUGGUAGUGGUCUCAUGUCUUCAGCAGGAACUCCCUUCUUUUCUAUCCUAGCCUCCUGUCCACAUCCCAAUAGGCUUAGUGAGUCUUUUGGGUAGAAAAAAAUCUUAGAGCCUUUUAUUCCAAAUCCCUCCUGAUAAGUGAAAGAAGCCAGUCUUAAACAGCUACAUACUGAGCCAGGCAUGGUGGCUCAUGCCUGUAAUUGCAGCACUUUGGGAGGCUGAGGCGGGUGGAUCACUUGAGGUCAGGAGUUCCAGACCAGCCUGGCCAACAUGGCGAAACCCCAUCUCUACCAAAAAUACAAAAAUUAGCUGGGUGUGGUGGCGGG
rnacentral:lncRNA from 1 species